GGGUAAACCCAAUCCAGUCCGCUGAUCCGAUCUGAGCCCAAGUCCGACCCACGUCGGAUAAAAAAAAAUCUCUUUUCUUUUUUUAGUUUUUUUUUAAAUAUAUUUUUCCCUUUUUUUUUUCUUUUAGUCUUAUCUCUAUUUUGUCUUUUCUGCUGCUCCAUCUCUGCUCAACGGUCCUUCCCGAAGCCACUUUUUGCCAUUUUAAAGUUUUCUAUUUGUUUUUUUGUUUUGCUUUUUUUCUUAUUCUUUACUUUUCUUUUUCUUUUGCUUUUUUUAUUUGUCUUUUUCCCAUGGUCUUCUUCCCCAAAGCCUCCUUCUGCACCAUAC
rnacentral:lncRNA from 1 species